GUGCUCCCUUUGGCAACACAUAUACUAAGAUUGGAAUGAUACAGAGAAGAUUAUCAUGGCCCCUGCACAAAGAUGACACACAAAUUCGUAAAGCAUUCCAUAUUUUU
ensembl:snRNA U6 U6 spliceosomal RNA